rnacentral:rRNA from 1 species
GACGAACGCUGGCGGCGUGCUUAACACAUGCAAGUCGAACGGAAAGGCCCUGCUUUUGUGGGGUGCUCGAGUGGCGAACGGGUGAGUAACACGUGAGUAACCUGCCCUUGACUUUGGGAUAACUUCAGGAAACUGGGGCUAAUACCGGAUAGGAGCUCCUGCUGCAUGGUGGGGGUUGGAAAGUUUCGGCGGUUGGGGAUGGACUCGCGGCUUAUCAGCUUGUUGGUGGGGUAGUGGCUUACCAAGGCUUUGACGGGUAGCCGGCCUGAGAGGGUGACCGGCCACAUUGGGACUGGGAUACGGCCCAGACUCCUACGGGAGGCAGCAGUGGGGAAUAUUGCACAAUGGGCGGAAGCCUGAUGCAGCAACUCCGCGUGCGGGAUGACGGCCUUCGGGUUGUAAACAGCUUUCGCCUGUGACGAAGCGUGAGUGACGGUAAUGGGUAAAGAAGCACCGGCUAACUACGU